rnacentral:rRNA from 1 species
AGAGUUUGAUCCUGGCUCAGAUUGAACGCUGGCGGCAUGCCUUACACAUGCAAGUCGAACGGUAACAGGUCUUCGGAUGCUGACGAGUGGCGAACGGGUGAGUAAUACAUCGGAACGUGCCCGAUCGUGGGGGAUAACGAGGCGAAAGCUUUGCUAAUACCGCAUACGAUCUACGGAUGAAAGCGGGGGAUCUUUGGACCUCGCGCGGACGGAGCGGCCGAUGGCAGAUUAGGUAGUUGGUGGGAUAAAAGCUUACCAAGCCGACGAUCUGUAGCUGGUCUGAGAGGAUGAUCAGCCACACUGGGACUGAGACACGGCCCAGACUCCUACGGGAGGCAGCAGUGGGGAAUUUUGGACAAUGGGCGAAAGCCUGAUCCAGCCAUGCCGCGUGCAGGAUGAAGGCCUUCGGGUUGUAAACUGCUUUUGUACGGAACGAAAAGCCUCUUUCUAAUAAAGAGGGGUCAUGACGGUACCGUAAGAAUAAGCACCGGCUAACUACGUGCCAGCAGCCGCGGUAAUACGUAGGGUGCAAGCGUUAAUCGGAAUUACUGGGCGUAAAGCGUGCGCAGGCGGUUUUGUAAGACAGAGGUGAAAUCCCCGGGCUCAACCUGGGAACUGCCUUUGUGACUGCAAGGCUGGAGUGCGGCAGAGGGGGAUGGAAUUCCGCGUGUAGCAGUGAAAUGCGUAGAUAUGCGGAGGA